rnacentral:tRNA from 1 species
AUUUCUUCUUAAUUUAUAUAGUUUAAUUAAAACCUUACAUUUUCAUUGUAAAAUUAAAUAUUACUAUUUUAUAA